rnacentral:lncRNA from 1 species
AUGGAGACCUUAACUUGCCCUUUGUGUGUAGGGGGGUGUCAUAACCACAGCACCUCACAGGCUGUAGUGAGAUCGCGUGACUCAAAGGUGAGCACCCUCCCGGGGUGUCACAGUGAGGUGGCUGCUGUCCCUGUCCCAAGGGCAGGUGACCCCAGGCUGGGUCUGCUGUGCUUCUCAGCGAGACGUCUUGAUGCAGAUAAGACAGAGACUGUGACGAGCGUGAGCGACAGGAGGCAAGGAGAGAGGAAAUUCAGGUGUAAUUCUUCCUUCGUAGCCCAGCACCCAGCAAUUGAAAGCUCACCAGGAUCCUGAGCCCAUGUUUCUUUCCUGAUGUUUGACCACAACAAGCCGGUUCAGCACCUGGUAAAAUCAUCAAACCUGCAUAACAUAAGAAGCAAAUUCACAAAAUAAACGAGGAAAAGCAU